rnacentral:tRNA from 1 species
GAAGAUGAACCCUGAUGGUGAAGGGGUACGCCUGGAAAGCGUUACGAUUGUGGUGACACGGUUUCGGUUCGAUUCCGACUUCUUCUGCCA